rfam:Triticum aestivum genome assembly, contig: Triticum_aestivum_CS42_TGACv1_scaffold_050178_1BS
UAUAUACUCCCUUCGUCCCAAAAUUCUUGUCUUAAAUUCGCCUAGAUAUGUAUACAUUCGUAUUUAGACAAAUCUAAGACAAUAAUUUUGGGACGGAGAGAGUAUUAU